rnacentral:lncRNA from 7 species
UUUCACAGAAGCUUUCAUUUCAAAUUCUGAGAGCUGAACGUGGAACCCAGCAUGGAGGAGAAGAGAUUUUACUAUUCCAUAAGUCAGUGGGCAGUUGUGGAAGGGACCUUCUUCUCAACAUUAUCUUAUCCAUCAGUGCUGCAGAAAAGACCUCUAUAUAAUCACUGUCAUGCUUGGUUCAAACCGAAACAAUCCAUAAUUAAAUCAAGCUCAAGUGCCUUGUCACCAGAUUGCUGAUGAACAUUUUAAUUCUUAGCAUGUUCAAAAGGGGAAGGAGAGAAAGAACUACAUGAACAGGAUAAAGGAAACACAAAGUAUUGUGUCCUUCCAGCUCUCUAUAAACUGCCACUGAGCCUGUUGUGUUUCCAAGGAAAUUGCUUGGGAAAGUGUAGAUAGUUUACAGAUGAAACCUUUCAGUUUUUGUUACUCCAUAAAAUACAGACAGACAAAUUACGCAAAUAACAGUACCUUUAAAAACUUUUUUUUUUCUGUGCUAUAAUGAUGUUGAAAUUAAUUCAAGUGAUUUUAUUAGAGAUAAAAAUUAUUGGAAAUCCUGGUUUCUUCUCUGAUGUCUCUAAAACUAUACCUAAGUGAAACAUUUAUACUUCAGAUCCAGAAAUAAAAACUUCUGGCAUUGCUCAUCAUUAGAAUUUUUCCCCUCAGGCUUUGUCUUUAUUAGCAGCUUAAGAGUAUAUUUAGCACUGUCAUAUGUGAAAUCUCUUCUGUUUGCUAAACUAAUAUGGGAUAAAAUGUCUUUUUUUACAGUGUUACUCAUUCAUUACAUAAAAAUGAAAGAAACUACUUUAGUGUGUAUAUAGAACUGCUCUCUAUUUUUAUGACAAAAGGGAGGUGACAAUACACAUCCCUGAGGCACCCAAGGGUAUUAUGUAAGAGUCAUUAGCGUAAUUGAUAUCCAUAUAAAGACUGUUGUAUCAAACAUGAUUAAAAUGUGCAAUAUAUUAC